rnacentral:rRNA from 1 species
AGAACGAACGCUGGCGGCAGGCCUAACACAUGCAAGUCGAACGCUCCGCAAGGAGAGUGGCAGACGGGUGAGUAACGCGUGGGAAUUUCCCCCAAGGUUCGGAAUAACUGAGGGAAACUUCAGCUAAUACCGAAUGGUACCGAGAGGUUAAAGAUUUAUCGCCUUGGGAUGAGCCCGCGUUGGAUUAGCUAGUUGGUGGGGUAACGGCCCACCAAGGCUUUGAUCCAUAGCUGGUCUGAGAGGACGACCAGCCACACUGGGACUGAGACACGGCCCAGACUCCUACGGGAGGCAGCAGUGGGGAAUCUUGGACAAUGGGCGCAAGCCUGAUCCAGCCAUGCCGCGUGGGCGAUGAAGGUCUUCGGAUUGUAAAGCCCUUUUGGCGGGGACGAUAAUGACGGUACCCGCAGAAUAAGCUCCGGCUAACUUCGUGCCAGCAGCCGC